rnacentral:rRNA from 1 species
AUACAACUUUCAGCAACGGAUCUCUUGGCUCUCGCAUCGAUGAAGAACGCAGCGAAAUGCGAUAAGUAAUGUGAAUUGCAGAAUUCAGUGAAUCAUCGAAUCUUUGAACGCACCUUGCGCUCCUUGGUAUUCCGAGGAGCAUGCCUGUUUGAGUGUCAUUAAAUUCUCAA